rnacentral:tRNA from 1 species
UUGAUUUAGUGAGAACAAUGAGCAUGUCAACAGACAAGGAUAUCCUGAAGCAGUUGCG